rnacentral:misc_RNA from 1 species
GAUGAAGAACGUAGCGAAAUGCGAUAAGUAAUGUGAAUUGCAGAAUUCAGUGAAUCAUCGAAUCUUUGAACGCACAUUGCGCCCGCCAGUAUUCUGGCGGGCAUGCCUGUUCGAGCGUCAUUUCAACCAUCAAGCCCCCGGCUUGUGUUGGGGACCUGCGGCUGCCGCAGGCCCUGAAAACCAGUGGCGGGCUCGCUGUCACACCGAGCGUAGUAGAUUUUAUCUCGCUCUGGGCGUGCUGCGGGUUCCGGCCGUUAAACCACCCUUUUAACCCAAGGUUGACCUCGGAUCAGGUAGGAAGACCCGCUGAACUUAAGCAUAUCAAUAAGCGGAGGA